CUUGAUUUUAUUCUGUACUGUUGGUGUCGCAGUUUCCCGUUUUUCUAGAUUUUGUACGUACGCCAGGGUCAGAGUUGCCAUGGAGGUUGGGACAUUCUCCCACCAAGUUUGGUUUUUAUAAAUCCUACAAGUUGACUAUAUGUGG